rnacentral:rRNA from 1 species
GUGCCAGCAGCCGCGGUAAUACGUAGGUGGCAAGCGUUAUCCGGAAUUAUUGGGCCGUAAAGCGCGCGUAGGCGGUUUCUUAAGUCUGAUGUGAAAGCCCACGGCUCAACCCGUGGAGGGUCAUUUGGAAACUGGGAAACUUGAGUGCAGAAGAGGAAAGUGGAAUUCCAUGUGUAGCGGUGAAAAUGCGCAGAGAUAUGGAGGAACACCAGUGGCGAAGGCGACUUUCUGGUCUGUAACUGACGCUGAUGUGCGAAAGCGUGGGGAUCAAACAGGAUUAGAUACCCUGGUAGUCC